CUCAACCUUUUGUUUGUGUUCGGACGCAGCAAUCUGGCAACUGAGAGCAUUUCAUCUGUGUCAUCAGUGUGAGUGAGGCUGCUUUAAAGAGAAGAGGAGAGGCUUCUGGCACGUUUGGGAGAGCGUCUCAGCACAAUGAUCCCCGACAGCCGCCAACGGUGGACCGAGACGGAGCAGUCGAUAGAUGGAGCCCUGACAGUGCUGGCGCUCUCCUGGAAAACGAUCGGAGAAACGACUCUCGUUGUUUCUGAUAUUCUUUGCUGCAGAUGUUUCUGAGAACACGUUUAAAAACGUGCAGACGUACGGCUGAGUCUCGGUGGCUUCUUCUAUGUGUUGGUGGAGACGGAGAAGACCUGGAAGAUCUACACAGACUAUUUCUGCAUUUGUGGAAUUUGCUCAUAGAUUUUAGAUUCUGAGUUGACUGAGUGCCACUUAUUCCUCUUUUAUUGUAUCUGGCACUAAGUCAGGCUUUUGUGAAUGUCAGCAGCUUUGUAAGUUGUUGAGUGACCCAGGAUGAAAAGUCAAAGUAUUUCAGUUCAUCCUGAGGGGAAACAUCACUGUCCCAUAUUUUAGGUUGUUACA